ACGGAAGGCAGCAGUAGGGAAUCUUCGGCAAUGGGGGCAACCCUGACCGAGCAACGCCGCGUGAGUGAAGAAGGUUUUCGGAUCGUAAAGCUCUGUUGUAAGAGAAGAACGUGUGUGAGAGUGGAAAGUUCACACAGUGACGGUAACUUACCAGAAAGGGACGGCUAACUAUGUGCAAGCAGCCGCGGUAAUACGUAGGUCCCGAGCGUUGUCCGGAUUUAUUGGGCGUAAAGCGAGCGCAGGCGGUUUAAUAAGUCUGAGGUUAAAGGCAGUGGCUUAACCAUUGUUCGCUUUGGAAACUGUUAGACUUGAGUGCAGAAGGGGAGAGUGGAAUUCCAUGUGUAGCGGUGAAAUGCGUAGAUAUAUGGAGGAACACCGGUGGCGAAAGCGGCUCUCUGGUCUGUAACUGACGCUGAGGCUCGAAAGCGUGGGGAGCAAACAGGAUUAGAUACCCUGGUA
rnacentral:rRNA from 1 species